rnacentral:rRNA from 1 species
UACGUAGGGGGCAAGCGUUGUCCGGAAUCAUUGGGCGUAAAGCGCGUGUAGGCGGCUUCGUAAGUCCGUUGUGAAAGUCCAGGGCUCAACCCUGGAAUGCCGAUGGAUACUGCGGAGCUAGAGUCCGGAAGAGGCGAGUGGAAUUCCUGGUGUAGCGGUGGAAUGCGCAGAUAGCAGGAGGAACACCAAUAGCGAAGGCAGCUCGCUGGGACGUUACUGACACUGAGGCGCGAAAGCGUGGGGAGCGAACAGG